UAAUUUUGCAGGUUUGGAAGCAUGAAUCCCAAGGAGAAGGAAAUAUACUUUUCAUUAAUGGAACAGCUUAACAUUUUCUCACAUGCUUAUCAACAUUACUUUAUACAUGCUCUGCAUUAUUGGAAUACACUUCAAAAAAAGGAUAUAAAGUAUAUUUAUUGGUGGACUAGAAAUGCCAAAGAUUCCCAGGGCUAUUAAAGCUUGUGACAGCCAAAGGUUCCACCUGAGCAGAUGAUUUUAGCAAUUGGACUAGCCACAGUGGACGUACUGUGUACACAACUCGCUGCUGACUAUAUAUGUAUAGAUACCUAGAAUGUUUUCAUUUUUCAAAUAAAACUAGUUAGAAGUAUGUUGCGGGGGCAUUGGGAAAGCAUAUAUUAUGUUUCUAAUUUGAUGCUUCUUGAUACCAGGUAUUUGCUGUUGGCUACAGCAUUUUUCGUCAAUACGUCCUAAGCAUCGACUGUGAUGCAGUGCAGAGACACGGAGGAAGGAUUGGGGUCAUAUGUGACCUGGGCUGGUCCCCGGUGAACAUGGUUCUACUACGCUGGUCCUGUCAGUCAGAGAGCCAGUCAGUCAGCCAGUUUCAGGAAGAGGCUGGGUGAGAGUGACACACACUGAGAGUAGAAGCCCGACUGAACGGCAGUAAGACAAGUAUUCCCUCCAGUCAACCACAAUCCACAGAACCGCUCAAAUGAUGCAGGAUCUCUCAAGAGGCCUGCAGGGCGGAACUGGGUGAGGGAGGACCUAAUGUCACACUCGCUACACUGAAGUCGGUUCCUGUCAAUUAGCAUAAAUGACAUGAUGACUUAGAAAACUGCUACCGAACUCUGCAGAGUGCCCUGAGAUGACCAUAUUACUGGUGUAAAUAAAACAAGCAUCACUGGGA